GGCGAUAGCACCACACAGACUCAAUGCGACGCCACACCGCGCGGAUAGCAUAGCCGAUGCGCACCUGCAGGCAGUCGACCGGCGUCCACGGAUGAGCUGUGUAGACGAGCACUAGCGUAAGCCCGCGUGCUGCUGCAGGAUUGAUAAAUCGGUCAGUGGACUGUCGUCACCGCGUUUGGGUGUAAACUGUAAGUCCCUACCGUGCAUGUUCUGCAACCCGGGACCCUACUUGCAAAGCACUUGCGAUGCGGACGGGAGACAGGAGACGCUGACGGGAGACGCUGAGCUCUAGCAUUACAAGUGUCGCCUGCUCUACACGUAUCGCCUGCAUUACAAGUGUCGCCUGCUCUCGCCUACGCCUCGCCUACGCCUUGCCACCGCCAUCCCUGAUGUUAAUAAGGCAUCAUCUUCAGCAUUCCUUGUCUCUCUCACGUCCCUUUACCCAAUACCAAUACAAUCAGCAUUCCUUGUCUCUUGCGCUCAUGGAUUUGGAUCUAGUGUUCCCCCACCCUCCCCACCCUCAACUGCCCGCCUUCAACUGCCCGCCCGUCUGCCCCAACUUGCUGGCGGGCGCGUCCGGACUGAGCCCCGGCACAGGAUCUAUUUUGAAAAACGCCACCAUAACCAGGUCACCAUAAUAACUAAAGUCGCUUUAAGUCACAAUAAACGGUCUCUGCAUUUCAGUGCGCACGCAGCCUCCACAGUUCGGGCCCUCACUCAUACCUGCCCAGUUCGGCUGCUAUUACGGAGCUGUAGUUUGCCGCCCUGUUAGCNNN
rnacentral:lncRNA from 1 species